CGCCUCUUGCGUAUAAAAGUAUAAGAGGUCCCACCUGCCCUGUGACUCUAAGUUUAACGGCCGCGGUAUCCUAACCGUGCGAAGGUAGCGCAAUCAAUUGCCUUUUAAAUGAAGGCCUGUAUGAAUGGUAUAACGAGGGUUUAACUGUCUCUUUUUCCUAGUCAGUUAAACUGAUCUGUCCGUGCAGAAGCGGACAUUACAAUACAAGACGAGAAGACCCUAUGGAGCUUUAGACACUAGCCAAGUAUGAAUAAGCGGCCGCAUUAAAUGGCCCCAAGCACCCGUAGCCUUCUGGUAAUGUGUCUUAGGUUGGGGCGACCACGGGAGACAGAAAAGCUCCCGAGCAGAGCAGGGGACAUCCCUGAAACUAAGAGUAACAACUCUAAGUCACAAAAGUUUUGACUGAAGUGAUCCGGCCUAAUAGCCGAUUGACGAACCAAGUUACCCUAGGGAUAACAGCGCAAUCCUCUCCCAGAGUCCCUAUCGACGAGAGGGUUUACGACCUCGAUGUUGGAUCAGGACAUCCUAAUGGUGCAGCCGCUAUUAAGGGUUCGUUUGUUCAACGAUUAAAGUCCU
rnacentral:rRNA from 1 species